GCCCUUAGAGUUUGAUCCUGGCUCAGGAUGAACGCUGGCGGCGUGCCUAACACAUGCAAGUCGAGCGAUUCUCUUCGGAGAAGAGCGGCGGACGGGUGAGUAACGCGUGGGUAACCUGCCCUGUACACACGGAUAACAUACCGAAAGGUAUGCUAAUACGAGAUAAUAUACUUUUAUCGCAUGGUAGAAGUAUCAAAGCUCCGGCGGUACAGGAUGGACCCGCGUCUGAUUAGCUAGUUGGUAAGGUAACGGCUUACCAAGGCGACGAUCAGUAGCCGACCUGAGAGGGUGAUCGGCCACAUUGGAACUGAGACACGGUCCAAACUCCUACGGGAGGCAGCAGUGGGGAAUAUUGCACAAUGGGCGAAAGCCUGAUGCAGCAACGCCGCGUGAGCGAUGAAGGCCUUCGGGUCGUAAAGCUCUGUCCUCAAGGAAGAUAAUGACGGUACUUGAGGAGGAAGCCCCGGCUAACUACGUGCCAGCAGCCGCGGUAAUACGUAGGGGGCUAGCGUUAUCCGGAAUUACUGGGCGUAAAGGGUGCGUAGGUGGUUUCUUAAGUCAGAGGUGAAAGGCUACGGCUCAACCGUAGUAAGCCUUUGAAACUGGGAAACUUGAGUGCAGGAGAGGAGAGUGGAAUUCCUAGUGUAGCGGUGAAAUGUGUAGAUAUUAGGAGGAACACCAGUUGCGAAGGCGGCUCUCUGGACUGUAACUGACACUGAGGCACGAAAGCGUGGGGAGCAAACAGGAUUAGAUACCCUGGUAGUCCACGCCGUAAACGAUGAGUACUAGCUGUCGGAGGUUACCCCCUUCGGUGGCGCAGCUAACGCAUUAAGUACUCCGCCUGGGAAGUACGCUCGCAAGAGUGAAACUCAAAGGAA
rnacentral:rRNA from 1 species